rnacentral:rRNA from 1 species
AACUCCAACCCCAUGGUGAACUUAUACCAUUUACAACCGUUGCUUCGGCGGGUUCUCGCCCCGGGCUUUACACCCCGGAACCAGGCGGCCCGCCGGGGGACCCAAACUCUAGAUUUAUAUUUUAGCAUGUCUGAGUGGAAUCAUUACAAAAUGAAUCAAAACUUUCAACAACGGAUCUCUUGGUUCUGGCAUCGAUGAAGAACGCAGCGAAAUGCGAUAAGUAAUGUGAAUUGCAGAAUUCAGUGAAUCAUCGAAUCUUUGAACGCACAUUGCGCCCGCCAGUAUUCUGGCGGGCAUGCCUGUUCGAGCGUCAUUUCAACCCUCAAGCCCCAGCGGUUUGGUGUUGGGGACCGGCGAGUACAGAGGCUUUGGGGACUUGUCCCCCUUCCCUCGGCGCCGCCCCCGAAAUGAAUUGGCGGUCUCGUCGCGGCCUCCUCUGCGUAGUAGCACAACCUCGCAUCAGGAGCGCGACGCGGCCACUGCCGUAAAACGCCCAACUUUUUUUAAGAGUUGACCUCGAAUCAGGUAGGAAUACCCGCUGAACUUAAG